UACGUAGGGGGCGAGCGUUGUCCGGAAUCAUUGGGCGUAAAGAGCGUGUAGGCGGUUCGGUAAGUCUGCCGUGAAACCUGGGGCUCAACCCUGGGCGUGCGGUGGAAACUGUCGAGCUAGAGGAUGGUAGAGGGGAGUGGAAUUCCCGGUGUAGCGGUGAAAUUCGUAGAUAUCGGGAGGAACACCAGUGGCGAAGGCGGCUCCUGGACCGGCAUUGACGCUGAACGGCGAAAGCUAGGGGAGCAACGG
rnacentral:rRNA from 1 species